rnacentral:lncRNA from 1 species
CUAUAACCUUUUAACAAGCAUGGAAAGGGAAGUCUGAGAUUUGACCCUUGACAACUUCUGGAAAGCACUGUUCAGUCAAGCUAGCUGGGACAUAAUCCAGGUUGCCUGCUAGAGUGUGAGGUGGAUGUUGGCUUCACUCCUGCUGUGCUUUGUGCUGGCCCAAGAGAGUGAACAUUCUCAUUCUUCCCGUGGCAGCUGAUUCUUUGGUACCAGUUUCCGUUCGUUUCCCCUUUUCUCCAUAGGUCUUGUGCAGAAAGGCUUUCACUUUGCAUCCAUGUUCUGGGGGUAAAGUACAGAUUGGAGAUAGAGAUUCCUGCAGGGUCAGGAGCAGGGCUGAAGUCCCCAAAGUAGGCUGUGCCUCAGAAAAAAAAAAUGUUUCUUUUCUAGAUGUGGAACCCUGGGAGAACUAAGGUGAUUUCAGAAGAGUUUUUGGGUUUUGUUUUUUUUGUUUUUUGGUUUUUUUUUUUAGAAACAAGGAAAACUUUGUAAUUCUUUCCAAGAACAUUUGGUUUCAAUUUCAAUACCAAGACUAGGGAUUGGCUCUUCCUUUGAUAUCACUCUAGCUGUAUUAAGAGGGAAAAGAAAUUAAACCCACCAAAGAAAACAUCACAAAAGGAAAUCAGUGUAAUGGUACAAAACAGAGGUACAGAGCUGUGCAGAGAAAGCAGGAAGUGAAGUAUCUCCCUACUCCCUUGAGUCUACUCAUCUGACCCUUUGGUGUUGACUUCAUUUGGUAAGCCCCAUCUUCAGAUGACAGAUUACUAAAAACAAUGAGGAGUUUUUAUCCUUUGGUUUUGUUUAGGAGUCUUCAAGAUGCAGAGUUCAGAAGAAAUUCCUCAGAACUAAUUUCUAGUACUUAAGCCAACAACAGUUCUAAAAUGCUAUUUAUUUGUGUCUGUAAGAUUGUACAUAUACUACCAACCUCAUACUGUUGUGGAUUAUUUUCU